AGAUGGCCAAACUGUUACAGAACCAGCACAUACUGCUGAGGGGCAGCAACAUGCACAAACUGAAGGCAAUUUUGAAACUGUAAAUCCCAACCUGUCUAAAGAGGCUGACAUAGAUGGCCAAAUUGUUAAAGAACCACCACAUAAUGCUGAGGGGCAGCAAUCUCCACAAACUGAAGGCAAUUUUGAAACUGUAAAUCCCAACCUCUCUAAAGAGGCUGACAUAGCAUCCGGAGACCAUGUGGGAGAUGUUAAUGUUACUGAUGAUGAGCAGCAGCGUUCGCCACCACCAGGUGCUAACACGUCUCCGGGAGGAAAUGAUUCCUCGCCUCAUGUCAUCCCCAAUCUACAUGCAUCUACAUCUCCACCACAUGAGUCUGGUCGAUCGGAAGCUAAUGUCAAUGAGGAUACUUUUGACCCUAAUGGCGCCUUCAGUUUUCUUAAUGAUCCAACCCCUCCCCAGA